GAUAAGGCUUUUCUAAAAGCCCUCAACAUGAAGGGAAAUACAAUUU
rfam:Oryctolagus cuniculus chromosome 9, whole genome shotgun sequence.